UACGUAGGGUGCAAGCGUUAAUCGGAAUUACUGGGCGUAAAGCGUGCGCAGGCGGUUAUGCAAGACAGAUGUGAAAUCCCCGGGCUUAACCUGGGAACUGCAUUUGUGACUGCAUAGCUGGAGUGCGGCAGAGGGGGAUGGAAUUCCGCGUGUAGCAGUGAAAUGCGUAGAUAUGCGGAGGAACACCGAUGGCGAAGGCAAUCCCCUGGGCCUGCACUGACGCUCAUGCACGAAAGCGUGGGGAUCAAACAGG
rnacentral:rRNA from 1 species